AGGUAGCAUUCCACCCUCUCUUUCCAAUAUGUCCAAACUGCAGGAGCUAGCUUUGGACCUGAAUUCCCCAGAAGGAAGCAUUCCAAGGGAAAUAGGUAAUCUUCGUUUUUUAACCUUGCUAAACGAGCAAGCUAACCAGCUUGCAGGUCCUAUACCACACAGUAUCUUCAACCUUUUUUCGUUGCAGUAUAUCGCAUUGACAGGCAAUCACCUAUCUGGAAAUCUUCCAGAAGAUGUAUGUUUUAAUCUUCCAGAGCUUAAAGGCUUUAUCUUUCCAAAAAUGCAUUAUAUGGCCUAAUCCCCCUAGGCUUAGAAAAAUGUACACAACUUCAAGUUCUAUCCUUGUCUUUAAAUGGAUUUUUUGGAGGCAUACCAAGAGAACUUGGGAACUUAACUCAGCUAACGCAGUUAUUACUUGGUACCAACAAUUUGGAAGGUUCAGUCCCAAAUGAGAUUGGGAAUCUUCGCAGAUUGGAAGUAUUUGGAAUCCAUGACAGCAGGUUAAGUGGUUCCAUUCCCAAAAGUAUCUUUAACAUUUCAACACUGCAACUGUUUUCAGGAGCUCAGAAUCUUCUAUCAGGAGGUCUUCCUUUCAACAUCGGUCAAGGGGUGCCAAAUCUUGAAGCCCUUUACUUAGGAAAUAAUGCUCUUAGUGGAAAUAUCCCAUAUUCUAUCUCAAAUGCAUCAGAAGUUACUAUAUUAGACCUUUCUUAUAACAGUUCGGUGGUCCAAUACCCAAUUCACUUGGAAAUUUAGGAUCCCUUGAAAUAGUGAGCCUACGUGACAACAGUUUGGUGGUUGAAUCUUCAUCUUCAGAAUUCAGGUUCCUCGCUUCUUUGACAAAAUGCAGAAAUCUAGCAAAAAUUUAUAUCGGCGAGAAUCCUUUAAACGGUAUACUUCCAGCUUCCAUUGGUAACUUGACCUCUCUCAUGAUAUUUGAUGCAAUCAAAUGUAAAAUCAGUGGCUAUAUUCCAGAAGAAAUUGGAAACUUAAGUAAACUUGUCGAUCUAAGUUUAACUGACAAUGACUUGACCGGAUUCAUACCCAAGACGGCUGAAGGUUUACAAAGCCUCCAGAGGUUGCACUUUAGCAGCAAGAAGAUAAGUGGAUCACUCCCAGACAACAUCUGCAAUUUGCAAAACCUUGGUGAUCUGAAUUUGACAGGGAGUCAAAUUUCUGGUCCUGUUCCAUCCUGCAUAGGAAACAUUACUUCCCUGAGAAAUCUUUACCUAGGUUCCAACAAUUUCAGCUCCAGUUUACCAUCUAGCUUAUGGGGGUUGAAAGAUCUUCUGAGAUUUGAUGCAUCCUCGAACAUGUUACUUGGCCAUGUACCUCCUGAAAUUGGAAAUCUGAAAGCUGCAAUAUUGAUUGAUCUCUCCAAAAAUAACUUUUCUGGAAUAAUGCUAUCUCUAUAGAUGGUUUGCAGAACCUGAUUAAUCUUUCCUUAGCCCAAAAUGAACUAGAGAAGCCUAUUCCACCGUCAUUUGGCCAGUUGCUAAGUUUGGAGUCACUGGAUUUGUCACCUAAUGCUGCACUAUGUUGUGCUGCUCAAUUUCAAAUGCCCCAUGCCCUAUUGUUCCUCCCCACAGAAGAAAGAAAAGUUUGCUUUUGGUCGCGUUUAUUCUUCUUGGGAUUUCCUCCCUAGUUCUUGUAUCUGCUAUGGGAUAUUUUUGAUACGAUGGAAAAUGAGAAGGCGAACUACACUUCAAACUGUGCCAAUUCCUUCAAUAAAUCAUGGAACGAACUCCUACAAUGAACUUGAGAAAAUAACGCAGGGAUUCAGUAAGAGCAACUUGCUUGGCAUUGGGAGCUAUAGCUUGGUUUACAAAGGUAUUCUCAGAGAUGGACUGUUUCGGCUGUAAAUGUGUUCAACCUGAAACUAGGAGAAGCUCUUAAAACUUUUGAAACAGAAUGUGAAGUAUUAGGCCAUCUUUGCCACCGGAACCUAUCCAAAGUCAUUACUAGUUGCUCCACCCGACAUGAAGUUUGGAGCAGUGGUGAUGGAAUACAUGCAAAAUGGAAGCCUCCAAAAAUGGUUAUAUUUGGAAGACCACUUCCUAGACAUCUUGCAAAGGCUAGAUAUAAUGAUAGAUGUAGCUUCUGCAUUGGAUUAUCUUCACAACGGUUAUGAUGCACCAGUGGUGCAUUGCGAUAUGACGCCUAGCAACGUCCUGCUUGAUGAAGAUAUGGUAGUGCAUGUCUAUGAUUUGGUACUGCCAAAUUAUUAGGUGCAGAACCAGAUGGAACUGCACAUGCAAAAACUCUGGCCACAAUGGGUUAUAUGGCACCAGAGUUUGGAUUAGAAGGACUGAUUUCCACCAAAUGUGAUGUUUAUAGCUAUGGAAUCAUGUUGAUGGAAACUUUCACCAGAAGGGGGCCACCUAGUGAUGACAUUUUUUCUGGAGACAUGGCCCUCAGGCAUUGGAUUAAGUCAUCAUUUCCAAGUGCAAUUAUGCAGGUUGUAGACUCCAAUUUGCUGAAACCAGAAGAUGCUGGAGUGUGUGAUAUAUAUGAUGAAGCUAGCAUUGGCCUGCACUAACAUGCAAGAUGUCGUUUCUGCGCUCAAAAAAAUAAGAAUCCAGUUUAAAAGAAGUUGUGGUAGGAGUUUGAAGUAGGAAAAAUUGUUGCAUCCUGAGGUAUCUUCCAUGCCACAGACAAUUCCACGCACUAAUGAAGCUUUUCUAGAAACAUUUUGACAGUGACUGAUUUUGCAUACUUUCAUUCCUUUUUGUAAUUUUUUUUUCCAUUGAGUACUAGUUUCAAAGUUAGUUUUCAUAGAUCAAUCUAAAGAGGGUUGGAGGGCGAAUUUUGAGAUA